rnacentral:lncRNA from 1 species
AUCUCAUGUCAUAUAAUUCAUGAUGUUUGUGGGUAACAUCCCUGAAAACCCUCACGAGACAACACUCGUCCACUAGGGUAACCUAGGGGUUUAACGGCUUGUUGCACGUGCUAAGUGCAAUCGUGAUUCCUACGAAAGUGAGUACAUAUCUUAGUUUUAUAUCUUUAGCUUGAAUAAAAAGUCAUAGGUUAAACCAUACCUUUUGCACUCUCAUUCUAUUAUCUGCUCAUUAAUUGCUAGAGACUAGCAAUAAGCUAGUUGGGGGGUGUGAUGAGAGCACAAAAGUGUGAUCUACACAUUACUUAAAUUAGCAUUAUUGCUAACAAAUAAUGAUAACAGUGCUGCAUUAAUAUUUUAUUUUUGUUGGGUGCAGGUGAUCGUAAAUCAA